ACCAGAUCUCAUUGUUACUUAUAAAUAUAAAAGAAACGACUUUGUAUAUAGCUGAAAACUUCCCCCUCGGAAAUCUAGAGAACAUCAACCAAAAGGUCGGUUAUUUGCGGUGAAGUAUGAAAACGACACUUGUUGUAGUUCUUGUCGUCUGCCUGUUGUUGGCUUGUUUCAUUCUUCCUGAAGUUGAAAGUCAGAAUGAUAGAGGAGGAUCAGAUCGUAGAAGAUAUGGUGGAGAAAAUGAUGGAGGAAUUAUUGGAGGAUAUGAUGGAGAAUAUCGUGACUAUGGAAGUUAUCAGGGCUAAAGUAAAAUUAUAAACGUCAACAGUUUAAGAUAAUCAGACCAGGAAUUUACAAGAGACUUAUCAUCUUGGAUUAUGUAUUUUCUAACAAAUGUUUACAGAAACUUGUUGUAUCUGGUGUAGGUUUUAUUUUGUAAAGUAGAA